CGCCCAGAUCUGAUCGAUUGCAAAGCAAUUCUGUGCUUUAUGCUUGUCAAAAACACUAAAUUCAGGGUCAGGAUAAUCAUACACCUCUGGAAGAUUACCAUCAGGAACAGUAUCUGAUUCUGAUUCUGACUCUGAAUCAGAACCAGAAUCAGAAUCUGAAUCAAUAGUAAGUUUAACUUUUUUAGCACCACCUGAAGGCAGUCUAGAAGCCUGUUCACUGGCCACAGCUUCUUUCUUCUGAGGUUUACUGUCCUUAAUUGACUGGUGAGCCCAUGAUCUCUUCAGAGGAUUACUAUCUCCAGCUGACUGGUUAGACUGUGCCUUCUUCAGAGGGCUUGCCAAAUCAUUCUCAUCAUUGCGUACAGGAUUAGUAUCUAGUUCAAGAUCAAAAACAACAGGUUCUAUUUUUUUCGCGCCAACUGACGGGAGUCUAGAAUGAGGCUCCAUCUCCGAACUUGAUACAUAAACAUGUGCAAAAUCAUCAUUGAAUUGCAAGAGAGUAUUGACAUCUUCUUGGUCGCUCAGCUGUAUCAAUUGGG
rnacentral:misc_RNA from 1 species